rnacentral:snRNA from 1 species
UGAUGUCAGGGUGAGCUGGCUGUGACAUCUGUCACCCCAUUGAUUGCCAGGGUUGAUUCGGCUGAUCUGGCUAGCUAGGCGGGUGUCCCCUUCCUCCCUCACCACUCCACGUGCAUCCUUCCUGAAGCUGUGCACUCAGUCGAAGAGGAUCCCCUUCUCUGAUAGAGGAGGACCAUUCUUCAGUCAAGGGUAUACGAGUAGCUGCGCUCCCCUGCUAGAACCUCCAAACAAGCUCUCAAAAUGAAGGCUCUCAACAAACUAGAAACAGAAGGGAAUUUCCUCAACCUAAUAAAAGAGCGUCU